GUGUUUAAAACGUGAGGUGUCUGGGCAUGUGUAUCCAAUUUGGUACUAAAGUAAUUGCUUUUUUUAUAACGGUGCGUGGAUAUGCUUUUUCAUUUUGCUUGUAUAAUUUGGGAGUACUGGGAGUAUAAACUAUGGGAAAAUCCCUGGCUUUUGUCUUCUAUUUUGACGUACUAGUUCCUUUUUGUGUGACUGACAAAAGCUACAAGUUAAGUGUUUUUGCAUGCAUCUUGUCCAGUAAAA